UACGAAGGGGGCUAGCGCUGCUCGGAAUCACUGGGCGUAAAGCGCACGUAGGCGGAUUGUUAAGUCAGGGGUGAAAUCCUGGAGCUCAACUCCAGAACUGCCUUUGAUACUGGCGAUCUCGAGUCCGGGAGAGGUGAGUGGAACUGCGAGUGUAGAGGUGAAAUUCGUAGAUAUUCGCAAGAACACCAGUGGCGAAGGCGGCUCACUGGCCCGGUACUGACGCUGAGGCACGAAAGCGUGGGGAGCAAACAGG
rnacentral:rRNA from 1 species